GAGGGAGAACCGCACGGUCCCGAAAACUGCUAAUUUUCGCUACCUUAGUUGAACCCUAAGGCUCACUCG
rnacentral:tRNA from 1 species